CCCGUGACGACAGCCGCCGCGCCGCGGAACACGCUCGCUCAGGAGCGCGUUGUGCUGCGCGGACGUUCAUUCGCGUUCGCGUUAGGUUCGGUUGUGAAUGGAGCGGGGAACACGGCCCACGGUGCCAUCUUUGCUGCGGGGCUGCUGAGGCUGCGUGUUGUUGUCCGAUGCAGAGACUAUGCAACGCUGCAGUGACGAUUUUGAAAGGGAGCUUUACAGUGAGCAGCGUGAAGCGUCCAAGGUUCUCCGAAGUUCACCGUGUCUCUCGUAAGCAAGGCGGCUUUCGAAAACACGGUGUACAGGAAUGUCGGAUUUACCAUGAAGCAAAGCUUGAUGGAAAACAAUCAGAUUCCUUGUUCCCGUGCGACUGUUAAGGCAUCGCGGUAUGGUAUGCAGCAUUCAGAACGCAUAACACUAACGUUAUGUUUAUCGGGGUACGAUUCACAGGCGCCGUACUGUAUCGCGGCGCGAUACUAAUAUCCCCGGCGCACGAAGCCGCUGCGUUGCAUAACUGUAUUAUUAAUGAGAGACGCAUGCACGUGCACACACGCGUCAGCACGCAUUCAUCGAAUGGGGCUGAAUUGAAAGCGUCUCGUGUUGGCGCUGCUUGUUGCGUCUGCAGACGGCGGACUUUUUUCUUUCGACAUUUUUUUUCUUUAAUUCGAGAAACGGAAUCGGCUGGAUUCCGAGAACAAUAACCCGAGCAUAACUUCGCCGGAGCGUUUCACUGCUUAGCUCGCUCGCUCGCCUAACAGUAUCGCAUUAAUUGCUGCGCUCCUAAAUUAGGAAAAUUUACCAAACAAUAACUGCCCGGAAAUCAUUGAAAUUCAUGGGACGAUAAUGCCGAGAAAAUGAACUGAAUCAUUGAAAUUUAUGAAAUGAUAACGCGAGCGAAGAAAAUUGAAUUGUAAGAGUUAAUGAAUGAAUAGUAAAUGUAAAGGAAUCUAGUUCAUUAAUAUUGGAUUGUUUAAGCGAGAUGUAUGGGAUAAUGAUGAAGAAAAGAAAAUCAAAUAAUUAGAGUUUGUAGGAGGAUAAUAAAAGUAAAUAAAAUUGAGUUAUUGGAAUUUAUAAUAUAUUAGUGGGUAUUCAUUAGUUAAUUAAAAUAUAAAGGUAAUAAAUGAAUAACAUUAUAGGCAAUGAAAACAUUAUUUCUUGUUUAAUUGUUCACCUUUCACACGUUAUUUAAGAUGCUUUUCAUUUUUACAAGAAAAUUUUAUUAUUCCUCGUGGAUUUAUAAUUGUAUCAUUGCAAUUUAUAUCGAAACUCGCGAAUAAUGUUCCGAAUGACAGAGUAAAUUGAGGAAGAAUAGAGAGUAACUUUCCACAUUAAUGAAGUGUGUAUUCGUAGAACCACCAGGGACGAGGCCUUUGUGUUUCGUUCAUGAAAAUAGAACAGAAUCAGCUCUCGUCAGAA